GGUUAAGCGACUAAGCGUACACGGUGGAUGCCCUGGCAGUCAGAGGCGAUGAAGGACGUGCUAAUCUGCGAUAAGCGUCGGUAAGGUGAUAUGAACCGUUAUAACCGGCGAUUUCCGAAUGGGGAAACCCAGUGUGUUUCGACACACUAUCAUUAACUGAAUCCAUAGGUUAAUGAGGCGAACCGGGGGAACUGAAACAUCUAAGUACCCCGAGGAAAAGAAAUCAACCGAGAUUCCCCCAGUAGCGGCGAGCGAACGGGGAGCAGCCCAGAGCCUGAAUCAGUGUGUGUGUUAGUGGAAGCGUCUGGAAAGGCGCGCGAUACAGGGUGACAGCCCCGUACACAAAAAUGCACAUACUGUGAGCUCGAUGAGUAGGGCGGGACACGUGGUAUCCUGUCUGAAUAUGGGGGGACCAUCCUCCAAGGCUAAAUACUCCUGACUGACCGAUAGUGAACCAGUACCGUGAGGGAAAGGCGAAAAGAACCCCGGCGAGGGGAGUGAAAAAGAACCUGAAACCGUGUACGUACAAGCAGUGGGAGCCUCUUUAUGGGGUGACUGCGUACCUUUUGUAUAAUGGGUCAGCGACUUAUAUUCUGUAGCAAGGUUAACCGAAUAGGGGAGCCGAAGGGAAACCGAGUCUUAACUGGGCGUUAAGUUGCAGGGUAUAGACCCGAAACCCGGUGAUCUAGCCAUGGGCAGGUUGAAGGUUGGGUAACACUAACUGGAGGACCGAACCGACUAAUGUUGAAAAAUUAGCGGAUGACUUGUGGCUGGGGGUGAAAGGCCAAUCAAACCGGGAGAUAGCUGGUUCUCCCCGAAAGCUAUUUAGGUAGCGCCUCGUGAAUUCAUCUCCGGGGGUAGAGCACUGUUUCGGCAAGGGGGUCAUCCCGACUUACCAACCCGAUGCAAACUGCGAAUACCGGAGAAUGUUAUCACGGGAGACACACGGCGGGUGCUAACGUCCGUCGUGAAGAGGGAAACAACCCAGACCGCCAGCUAAGGUCCCAAAGUCAUGGUUAAGUGGGAAACGAUGUGGGAAGGCCCAGACAGCCAGGAUGUUGGCUUAGAAGCAGCCAUCAUUUAAAGAAAGCGUAAUAGCUCACUGGUCGAGUCGGCCUGCGCGGAAGAUGUAACGGGGCUAAACCAUGCACCGAAGCUGCGGCAGCGACACUAUGUGUUGUUGGGUAGGGGAGCGUUCUGUAAGCCUGCGAAGGUGUACUGUGAGGUAUGCUGGAGGUAUCAGAAGUGCGAAUGCUGACAUAAGUAACGAUAAAGCGGGUGAAAAGCCCGCUCGCCGGAAGACCAAGGGUUCCUGUCCAACGUUAAUCGGGGCAGGGUGAGUCGACCCCUAAGGCGAGGCCGAAAGGCGUAGUCGAUGGGAAACAGGUUAAUAUUCCUGUACUUGGUGUUACUGCGAAGGGGGGACGGAGAAGGCUAUGUUGGCCGGGCGACGGUUGUCCCGGUUUAAGCGUGUAGGCUGGUUUUCCAGGCAAAUCCGGAAAAUCAAGGCUGAGGCGUGAUGACGAGGCACUACGGUGCUGAAGCAACAAAUGCCCUGCUUCCAGGAAAAGCCUCUAAGCAUCAGGUAACAUCAAAUCGUACCCCAAACCGACACAGGUGGUCAGGUAGAGAAUACCAAGGCGCUUGAGAGAACUCGGGUGAAGGAACUAGGCAAAAUGGUGCCGUAACUUCGGGAGAAGGCACGCUGAUAUGUAGGUGAAGCGACUUGCUCGUGGAGCUGAAAUCAGUCGAAGAUACCAGCUGGCUGCAACUGUUUAUUAAAAACACAGCACUGUGCAAACACGAAAGUGGACGUAUACGGUGUGACGCCUGCCCGGUGCCGGAAGGUUAAUUGAUGGGG
rnacentral:rRNA from 1 species